GAAUGGGUGAGUAACACGUGAGUAACCUACCCUUGACUCUGGGAUAAGCCCGGGAAACUGGGUCUAAUACCGGAUAGGAACGUCCACCGCAUGGUGGUUGUUGGAAAGAUUUAUCGGUCAUGGAUGGACUCGCGGCCUAUCAGCUUGUUGGUGAGGUAAUGGCUCACCAAGGCGACGACGGGUAGCCGGCCUGAGAGGGUGACCGGCCACACUGGGACUGAGGCACGGCCCAGACUCCUACGGGAGGCAGCAGUGGGGAAUAUUGCACAAUGGGCGAAAGCCUGAUGCAGCGACGCCGCGUGAGGGAUGACGGCCUUCGGGUUGUAAACCUCUUUCAGUAGGGAAGAAGCGAAAGUGACGGUACCUGCAGAAGAAGCACCGGCUAACUACGUGCCAGCAGCCGCGGUAAUACGUAGGGUGCGAGCGUUAUCCGGAAUUAUUGGGCGUAAAGAGCUCGUAGGCGGUUUGUCGCGUCUGUCGUGAAAGUCCGGGGCUUAACCCCGGAUCUGCGGUGGGUACGGGCAGACUAGAGUGCAGUAGGGGAGACUGGAAUUCCUGGUGUAGCGGUGGAAUGCGCAGAUAUCAGGAGGAACACCGAUGGCGAAGGCAGGUCUCUGGGCUGUAACUGACGCUGAGGAGCGAAAGCAUGGGGAGCGAACAGGAUUAGAUACCCUGGUAGUCCAUGCCGUAAACGUUGGGCACUAGGUGUAGGGACCAUUCCACGGUUUCCGCGCCGCAGCUAACGCAUUAAGUGCCCCGCCUGGGGAGUACGGCCGCAAGGCUAAAACUCAAAGGAAUUGACGGGGGCCCGCACAAGCGGCGGAGCAUGCGGAUUAAUUC
rnacentral:rRNA from 1 species